UACGUAGGGUGCAAGCGUUGUCCGGAAUUAUUGGGCGUAAAGAGCUCGUAGGCGGUCUGUCGCGUCUGCUGUGAAAAUCAGGGCUCAACCCUGGACCUGCAGUGAGUACGGGCAGACUAGAGUGCGGUAGGGGAGAUCGGAAUCCUGGUGUAGCGGUGAAAUGCGCAGAUAUCAGGAGGAACACCGGUGGCGAAGGCGGAUCUCUGGGCC
rnacentral:rRNA from 1 species